rnacentral:rRNA from 1 species
GGACGAACGCUGGCGGCGUGCUUAACACAUGCAAGUCGAGCGAGGACUUUCUCUUCGGAGGGAUGCUCUAGCGGCGAACGGGUGAGUAACACGUGGGCAACCUGCCCCUAGCUCUGGGAUAAGCCCGAGAAAUCGGGUCUAAUACGUGGAUAUUCACGACAUAGGGCAUCUUGUGUUGUGGAAAGGGGUUUCUGGCUGGGGAUGGGCCCGCGGCCUAGUCAGCUUGUUGGUGGGGNGAUGGCCUACCAAGGCGACGACGGGUAGCCGGCCUGAGAGGGCGACCGGCCACACUGGGACUGAGACACGGCCCAGACUCUUACGGGAGGGCAGCAGUGGGGAAUAUUGCACAAUGGGCGGAAGCCUGAUGCAGCGACGCCGCGUG